rnacentral:rRNA from 1 species
GCAUAACGCGAAGAACCUUACCUGGUCUUGACAUAGUAAGAACUUUCCAGAGAUGGAUUGGUGCCUUCGGGAACUUACAUACAGGUGCUGCAUGGCUGUCGUCAGCUCAUGUCGUGAGAUGUUGGGUUAAGUCCCGCAACGAGCGCAACCCUUUUCCUUAUUUGCCAGCGGGUUAAGCCGGGAACUUUAAGGAUACUGCCAGUGACAAACUGGAGGAAGGCGGGGACGACGUCAAGUCAUCAUGGCCCUUACGACCAGGGCUACACACGUGCUACAAUGGUCGGUACAAAGGGUUGCUACCUAGCGAUAGGAUGCUAAUCUCAAAAAGCCGAUCGUAGUCCGGAUCGCAGUCUGCAACUCGACUGCGUGAAGUCGGAAUCGCUAGUAAUCGUGAAUCAGAAUGUCACGGUGAAUACGUUCCCGGGUCUUGUACACACCGAGUCUUGUACACACCGGGUCUUGUACACACCG